UUUGUUUUUCUCAGGUACAUUCCAGGUUUUAGCUAUCUUCAGUGAAUAAUCUGGUGGAAUUCAGAAAUGAUUUAUAUUUGUAAAACCUUUACGCCUGGGCAACGGUCGACAAACUUUCCAAAUUUCCUGUCUGAUGCCAUGUUGCCCUGUAAUUUCCCAAAGAACCGAACAAAUAAAUUACGCAGAGAGGAACAAGAUUCUGAUGUAAAAAAUAACAUUAAAGGAAAAAAAUAGGAACAAAAUAAAUAUUUUAAAGAAGCGUCAUACAAAUUAUCCAUCAUUGUGAUUCAUAAAGACAACAUUUUGUUUCACAUAAUCAAAAUAUACAAGAGAUAAAUCCAUUAUUAUUGAAUAUUUAUUUAGUUAUACUAUACUAGUCAAUAGAAAUAAAACAAAGGAAACUUAAAAAAAAAUGAAUAGCAACAAAGUCAAAAACAAACAUGAACAUAUCAAGGAUCGAGAACCCAUGCAAAUUGAAUUGGAAAUUACCAAAGUAAGCAUAUUAUCUGAAUUUAAACAAAAUGAUAACAGUUUAUGUGAAAGUUGGAAGUAAUGAAAGGAUAACAAAUUAAAUAUUUUUAUAGCAAGCAGAAAUUUUUAAAUUGAAUGUAAAACCCAUAUUUUAACCAAGCUUAACAGCAAUCCACAUUUAGUUUAUUGUCUUUAGCCUAGGAUUUUAAGCUAUUGCAUUCCAUUGACAAUACUGAGGAAAACAAUGAUAAUAAUUUAGUCAUGAUUGUCGUCAUGUAUUUAUGCAUUUCACUUACAGCAUAUAUGUAUUUGGAAAUGAAAAUCAACAAUUUAAUACAAAAUAGCAGGCCAAAAAUAUUCAUACCUUUAUGUUAGGAUCAAAUAAAUAUUUUUAAUCAUGACUAGACUGAAAUUAUUGCAAGGAUCAUCUUUGAUUUUCAUGUUUUAACAUUUCAUGAAUCACGUUUGUAUCAAUCACCAUUAAGCCUAAAUUAUUCCAGUCUUAAUAAUUAUUUAUAAACUUUUUUUUAAAUGUGGACAAAAUUUAAGACAUGCGGUUAUUGCAACAAACAUUUUCUGGGCAGAUUUCAUUUUAAUCCUCAUGUAAAAAAAAAAAAAAAAUUAA